UGAAUACUCCCUCCGUCCGGAAAUACUUGUCCUAGAAAUGGAUAAGUCUAGAUACAUCCAUUUCUAGGACAAGUAUUUCCGGACGGAGGGAGUAUGAU
rfam:Triticum aestivum genome assembly, contig: Triticum_aestivum_CS42_TGACv1_scaffold_131476_2BL